rfam:Ruminococcus sp. YE71 genome assembly, contig: IE40DRAFT_scaffold00028.28
UUUAUUAAGAGUUUGAUCCUGGCUCAGGACGAACGCUGGCGGCACGCUUAACACAUGCAAGUCGAACGGUGAAGAGGUGCUUGCACUUCGGAUCAGUGGCGGACGGGUGAGUAACACGUGAGCAAUCUGCCUUUAAGAGGGGAAUAACGACUGGAAACGGUCGGUAAUACCGCAUAACAUAUCGAAGCCGCAUGACUUUGAUAUCAAAGAUUUAUCGCUUAAAGAUGAGCUCGCGUCUGAUUAGCUAGUUGGUGAGGUAACGGCCCACCAAGGCGACGAUCAGUAGCCGGACUGAGAGGUUGAACGGCCACAUUGGGACUGAGACACGGCCCAGACUCCUACGGGAGGCAGCAGUGGGGAAUAUUGCACAAUGGGCGCAAGCCUG